UACGCGCCCUCAGCAAGAGCCAGCGAGGCUCAGCCGAAGAGGACGGGCAGAAAAGCUUCCUUUUACAGUAGGUCAGUUGGAAAGGGACCGUUCAAGGUCCUCAACAGCUGAGCUGGGCGGGAGGCUUGCCUUUGUACCUUUGGAAUGAAGUUACUUCAUUAGUUCUGCAAAGGUUCACUUAUUAGUUCCUCCAUUCCUGGUGGCCCUUCCAGCUCUAGACAAGGGUCCUCGCCAGUAAGGGCACUGUGGGCAACGAAAGCCACAGACAAAAAUACUCUUUGCACCUGAAACUGUAAGAAAAGUCAACAUUUUGGAAAUGGUCUGGAACUCGGUCAGAGGUGCCCGGACUCAGACCCAUGUGACUGGUUUAAACUCGAGAGGCAAUGUGGCAAUCCUCAGGCAGACCCUUAUUCGCACCUGCAUCAACUCAUGACGGGGAGCAGCCAACCUUGUUCUACACGGUGCUGUGCAAAAAGGCCGCCACUACCUACAGGGGCAUUACUCAGAGGGCAUCACUCUUACUGAAAGAAGUUAACGGCCAUGGGCAGACAAACAACACACAAGUCAAACAAGAAGAAGUCCCCUAUGAAUCUGUGGACAUUUAAGACCUGUUCAAGAGCUCCGAUUGCUAUAGCCGCCCCUGCCCACCACCAAGAAAAGAAAAUGCUCAGCAUUCUUCACCUAUAUUUAUACUGCCUGUUGGGUCCAAUCUGACCAUUUUUAGUACUAUAUCAGCUGUGUUAACUCAAUUCUUUUCAAAUCACUUCACUCUAUAGUAUGUUGAAUCAGCCAAUGCUACUGGGUGUGACUGUGCUAUGUUUACUUAGUUUCUACAAACUAAACUUUUUGGCAAGAAUAUGACAUCCACCAUAACACUGGAACUAUGGGGUUCCACAUUAUUUAUUCAUUAAGGAAAUACAAAGGAUCCCAAUGUCUUAUGAUUGAAAACAAACAAGUCCCCAGGAAAAAAAAACAUCUUUUACUGCCCUCCUCCAUAUGUUUAGCCCCCUGGGUAUAAUGUAGACCAAUACUCUAUAAAACCCAUCUAAAAUAACAGGAGUUACGGUCUCCGAAACCUACAGGGAGAAUCAGGCUAGAGUUUAAGACAAUAGAACAGGGCAAAGCCGGAGCUUGUGACUGAAGGUCCUGUUUGAAGUCAUCUCAAAAAGACAAAACAAAAAACCAAAACAAAAUACUGCUAGGCCAAACAUGCACAUGGGGGUGUGGUCUUGAAUCUUAGAUCCAUGGCUCAAAUCAGAAGAAGAUUCAGAUGAGGAUGUAUUCCUUCCUCUAAAUGGAAGACAUUCUUGUUGGUUAAAUCAGAGCAUUCAUUUUUUUUCUUGAAGAUGUAUUUGAGGAAAUACACUUGAUAUUGUUUAGAAUGUAAGACAAAUCAGGUUUCAAGCAAAGCUUGAACUUUCUGAAUAUCAGUAAAAAGCAACCUUGCUCUAAGAAAGAAUAAUAAUACCUACAAUUGAUGGACUGCUUAGUAUGUGUGCCAGGUACCAUUCUAAGCACUUUGCAUAGAUGAACACAUUUCUACGGCUCACAACAACUCUACAGUCUAAGUACUAUUAUUACCUCCAUUUCACAGAUGGAAAACUAAGCAGACAUAGAAUGGCUAAGUAACCUGAGCACAGACACACAGCUAGUGAACAAUGAGGCUGCUAUUCAAACCUAAGCCAUCUUUCCUCUGGGCCUGCACUCACACACGGCUGUGCCUCUUAGCUAAAAGCACUAUCCAUGUACUCCCUGGGAAAGGACCAUCAAGGGAAGGGAAACACUUUCAUUCAUUAGCAAGACUGAAUCAAUUUGGGGGGAGGAAGGGAAGAAUGCCUUACAUUUAUUCCAUACAAAAUAAAUAGAAAUUUAUCACCAAAAUCACUACAUAAAUGACAACUUGCUCAGGACUAAGCAAGAAAAGGCUUUUAGACAAUCUGUAACUGAAUAAAAUUCUUGGUAAUAAUAAUUAAUAGAUAUCAAAUCAAAUCAGUAAAAAUUUGAUACAACAACUA